UAGGGAAUAUUAGUAAUGGGCGAAAGCCUGAACUAGCAACACCGCGUGUGCGAAGAAGGCCUUCGGGUUGUAAAGCACUUUUUGAGAGGAUGAGGAAGGACGGUACUCUCAGAAUAAGUCUCGGCUAACUACGUGCCAGCAGCCGCGGUAACACGUAGGAGGCAAACGUUAUCCGGAUUUACUGGGCGUAAAGCGCGUGUAGGUGGUUUGGUAAGUAGGGCGUGAAAGCUCCUGGCUCAACUGGGAGAGGACGUUCUUAACUGCCAAGCUUGAGGAUGGUAGAGGGAGGUGGAAUUCCGGGUGUAGCGGUGGAAUGCGCAGAUAUCCGGAGGAACACCAGUGGCGAAGGCGGCCUCCUGGACCACUCCUGACACUCAGACGCGAAAGCUGGGGUAGCAAACGG
rnacentral:rRNA from 1 species